UGGGGAAUUUUGCACAAUGGGGGAAACCCUGAUGCAGCGACGCCGCGUGAUUUAGAAGGCCUUCGGGUUGUAAAAAUCUUUUCUAUGGGAAGAAAAUGACAGUACCAUAGGAAUAAGGACCGGCUAAUUACGUGCCAGCAGCCGCGGUAAUACGUAAGGUCCGAGCGUUGUCCGGAAUCAUUGGGCGUAAAGGGUACGUAGGCGGGUAAGCAAGUUAGAAGUGAAAUCCUAUAGCUCAACUAUAGUAAGCUUUUAAAACUGCUCAUCUUGAGGUAUGGAAGGGAAAGUGGAAUUCCUAGUGUAGCGGUGAAAUGCGCAGAUAUUAGGAGGAAUACCGGUGGCGAAGGCGACUUUCUGGCCAUAACCUGACGCUGAGGUACGAAAGCGUGGGUAACAAACAGG
rnacentral:rRNA from 1 species